GACAGAGGUCCCGAGCGUUAGGCGGAAUCACUGGGCUUAAAGCGUGUGUAGGCGGGUCGUUAAGUGCCUUGUGAAAUCCCACGGCUUAACCGUGGAACUGCUUGGCAUACUGGCGGUCUUGAGCAACCUAGGGGCAAGCGGAACAAAUGGUGGAGCGGUGAAAUGCGUAGAUAUCAGGAGGAACACCGGUGGCGAAGGCGGGUCUCUGGGCAAUAACUGACGCUGAGGAGCGAAAGCGUGGGGAGCGAACAGG
rnacentral:rRNA from 1 species